UGCGUAGGUGGUCCGUUAAGUCAGUUGUGAAAUCCCCGGGCUCAACCCGGGAACUGCUUCUGAUACUGGCGGACUUGAGGCCAGUAGAGGUCACUGGAACUGACGGUGGAGCGGUGAAAUGCGUAGAUAUCGUCAGGAACGCCGGUGGUGAAGACGGGUGACUGGGCUGGUUCUGACACUGAGGCACGAAAGCGUGGGGAGCGAACGGGAUUAGAUACCCCGGUAGUCCACGCCCUAAACGAUGCAGACUAGAUUGCAGCGGGUUACACCCCGUUGCGGUCGGAGCGAAAUUGUUAAGUCUGCCACCUGGGAAGUACGGUCGCAAGGCUAAA
rnacentral:rRNA from 1 species